rnacentral:rRNA from 1 species
CCGCACGCGCGCUACACUGAUGAAGUCAGCGAGUUUAUAACCUUGGCCGGAAGGUCUGGGUAAUCUUUUGAAACUUCAUCGUGCUGGGGAUAGAGCAUUGCAAUUAUUGCUCUUCAACGAGGAAUUCCUAAUAAGCGUGAGUCAUCAGCUCGCGUUGAUUACGU